UUUCUGCAGGGGUCGGGGUUCCUGAGUUGCAGGUCUAAUUUCAGGGGUCCUUGUCUGCAUGGGUGGGGGUUGCUGAGUUCCAGGUCUAGUUCAGGGGUCCUUGUCUGCAGAGGUGGGGCUGCUGAGUUGCAGGUCUGGUUGCAGGGGUGGGGGUUUUUGUGUUGCAGGUCUAAUUUCAUGGGUCCUGGUCUGCAGGGCUGAGGGUUGCUGAGUUGCAAGUCUGGAUGCAUGAGUGGGGGUUGCUGAGUUGCAGGUCUGUCUGCAGGAGUGUGGG